rnacentral:rRNA from 1 species
AUGGCCGGCCUUGAUCUCAUUGAGCUCCCCGACGACUUUGUUGACUAUGAUGGUGAUCCCCUGUUCUGCACACAAGCCCAACCUGAAAAAAUCCCUAUUUCGAUCGAGGGGGUGGGCGAGUCGCCAGAUUUGUGUUCUGCUCCUGUCCAAGAUGUCGUAGGUGUGGGGUUUCGUGUUGCGGCUACUGUUGUGUCUGAUGCGACGGCAACUGCUGAAACUAUCGUGCCCGCCCCUGCCAUGUCCCGGCUGCAACUAUGCCUAGCAAUGGUGGACAAGGUCGUACGGGAACCUUAUGUCGGCAUGGAGUUUGACACAGUUGAAGGUGCUAAGGCACACUACAAAGCUUACUCUCGCAGAAUUGGGUUCUCGAUGAAAGCCAACACUUCCAGAAGGUCUUCGUACACUAAUGUCCUUGAGAAGCAGACUUUUUGUUGCAACAAGUCAGGGAGGCCUAAAAUCAAUGAUGAUGCCCCCACACCCGUGUUUGAGAGACUAAGCUCAGAUUCUGAUGGUUGUGGCGAUGGGCAAGAUGUUGGGAGUGUUGUUGCAGACCACAAUCAUAGACUGAUUGACAAGCCAUCUCUCACUAAAUACCUCCGCUCUCACCAAGGCAUCCCGCCGGAAGAGGUUGAGUUCCUGGAACAUAGGUGCAACAUGGACACAGGUCGCAUGAUGACGGUUAUGUUUGAAUUCUGUGGCCAAGCUGCAAUUGUUCCGUACACGACGAAAACGAUAAGCAACAUGAGAACUAGCCUUCGCAGUGCUGAGGCAAAUGAAGACUUGAGCAUGACUCCUGAGGAGUUUGAGGCGAGGUGGGCUGCUAUGGUUGAGAAGCAUGGUAUUGUUGGCGAUAAACGCUUUGAUGAUCUCUAUGCAAUCAAGCAUCUUUGGGUCCCCUACUACUUUAGGAACUGUUUCUUCCCAUUCCUGCAGUCGACUCAGCGCAGUGAAGGCUUCAAUGCUGACCUAAAAAGGUACGUUAACCCACAAAAUUCUGUGCUCAACUUUGUGAAGCAAUAUGAGAAGAUAAAUGACAAGAUCUUGGUGAAAGAAGGGGGUAAUGAUUACCGAACAGAUGAGCUUGAGCCAAGGCUUUGGUCCCUGUUCCCAAUUGAGAAGCAAGCCUUGCGAGUUUACACAAGGGAUAUAUACUACAGGUUCCAACAUGAGCUUUCUUUGAUUGGCAUGUAUAAUGUUAGGCCUCAAGGCGGCAACAUGGAUGGGCUGCUUUGCGUCCACAUCUUGAAAGUGUUCACCCACCUUGGUGUUGAUGAGAUCCCUGAGCGUUACAUACUGCCUAGAUGGACUCAGAAUGCUAUUCUUACUGAUAUGCCCCCUGACACACAAGUCCCUGAUGCCAUGCCUAAAGAGUCUCUGCAACAAAUAAGGCAUGUUUCCCUGAAUACUAUGUUUGGCAAAAUCUCUAAAUUGGGCAGUAUGUCUGAUGUAGGAGCAGCUUUGUGCAAGUCCUAUGGGCGCGCGUUGGAGACUAAACUGAACCAACUUUAUAAAUCAAGGAGGAAGAAGAAGCCAGCGGCUCCAGCCCAGCCACCAGCCCAAUCUGCCCCCACGGAAGCUUAUGUUGGAGAGCCUAAAGCAAAUCCUUUGCGUAACCCCCCAAAAUCAUCUACUAAAGGACGCAAGAGAGACAAGAGGUACUAUUCGGGCAUUGAGUUGCAUCCGAAGAAGAAGACAAAAUGUGCAUAA